rnacentral:rRNA from 1 species
UACGGAGGGAGCUAGCGUUGUUCGGAAUUACUGGGCGUAAAGCGUACGUAGGCGGUUAUUCAAGUCAGAGGUGAAAGCCCGGGGCUCAACCCCGGAACUGCCUUUGAAACUAGAUAGCUAGAAUCUUGGAGAGGUCAGUGGAAUUCCGAGUGUAGAGGUGAAAUUCGUAGAUAUUCGGAAGAACACCAGUGGCGAAGGCGACUGACUGGACAAGUAUUGACGCUGAGGUACGAAAGCGUGGGGAGCAAGCAGG